UUCGCCUUAUUCACCUGGCGGCCAUUUUGAAAAUUCGAACGCCGUUGAGGGGUAUACAAACCCGGAAGUUUGACUCGGACGCAUACGAUUCAGCAGCACCAGCAAUGGAAACUCCAGAAUGGACCAUCAAUCUUUCCUGUCUGCCCGAAUUAACGAUACAAAAUGUGGAGCAGUGGGCCAGUACCGACUGCAACACUCCCCGGGUUGUGUUAAUUAAGGGAUACAGUAACUGUAUCGAAGGUUUUAUCCACGACAUUGAAGGUGGAGCUGUCACUUGAGCAGCCAUUGAUAAGGGAGACGCAGUGCAACUACUUCUAUGUACAGGGUUACUUACAAACCUAGACCAUUGUGCCUAUCAAUGUUUUUUGAACGCCCUGUUUUCUGAUGUUCUGGUUCCUUUUCCAUGCUUACAGUAUACAGGCAGGCCUUUUUACAUUAUUCCCCAUACCAACUUAUAUGUACAAAGUUACCUUUACAAACUUAGACCAGUGUGCCUAUCAAUGUUUUUUUUAAUGUUCUCUGAUGUUCUGGUUCCGGUAUAUUAAAUUAUAAAGUUAUGAAGGACAUCAUCCAUGUGUAAUACAAUUGUACUUUAUUCUUUUGAUAGAUAGACAUCCAGUAGCUUAUACAUACAUACACACAUAAACAAUCAAAUCACUCACAGGUAUGUAAAAGUAAAGAGCAUGAGAAGUGAUUAUAAGGUCUGACAGGUACUGAUCCUGUGGUACAUUGACCAUAAUAAUGUGCUAUGGUAACAAUACAAGUUUGCAUAUUGUAUAGAUUUGUAAAGAUGAACAAUAAUAUUGAUUAAGGUUUUGUAUUCAUAAAGAUGAACAAUAAUGGUGGUUAAGGUUUUGUAUAGAUUCAUAAAG